UUUUUUUUUUUUUUUGCUUUCACAAAAUGGCUGCCAAUCAUCAAAACUUUCUGCUAUGAGUGAUGCGCGUGAAAAAUCUGAUUGGCUCCGAUUCGCAGGCUUUUUACUCUGUUGCUGAGGCAAAUCUAAGUAGAUCAGAGAUAUAUUGGCUCCAAUUCGUGGUCUUUUUACUAUCCGGUGUUGACUGCCAAGGCAAGACAAGAAACAAGAAAGCUGCUCCCACCAUGUAUGUAGUAAUUAAAUGUUUAAAAGAAAAAUGAGUGUGGGCUUGGAGAGAUGUGUAAAGGAGAAAAAAUGCUGAGUGAUCCAAAGAGGACUGGAUUGGUGGAGCACGGAGCGGUUGGAGUAAAGACACCUGAAGGCGGCUGGAAAGCUUUUCUGGCCCAUUUUACAUGUAAAUAUAGCCGAAAUCACAGAACAGCCACUGUCUUUAACUGAUGUGUAUGAUGAUUUUGUCAGACAACAGAAAGGAUUUGAGCAGAGCAGCAGCUUGGACGUGACUGCUGGUUAACAUGAGUUCUGAAGUCAAACACCAAACAAAUCGGAGAAGUAAUAAUCAAUUCAAAUAUAAUGGAUCUACAAACCAUCGCCUUUUCUAUUUCAUUUUUGUAUGUAUAGAACUUGAAACAUUUUUGGGUGGUGCACAUGUUACUAUUCAGUCUUACUCAUACUCAUCAUAACUGCUGACCUUUUACACCUUUCCCCAAUACACGUGUUUUUCAGAUAGACGAUGAUCCAUACAGGACUCCAAAACAGACAAAGACCAUGUCCAAAACGUUCCCAGAGUUCCCAAACACUGAGAUCAAGGCCUGCAUGGCACUAAAAUGAAAAGACACCAGGAGACAAGCAGAAAGGGAGCCUAUUGGAGGAGACGCAGCAGAGGACUGAGACAACACACACGCACAAACACACACAAAUAAACAAAUAAACUCAACUAAAAAAGAAAAUAAAAGCUUGAUUUGAAUCAAUUUGUUUUAAUGUCUUUAUUGAGGGAAAUAUGAGCAUAGACCUUACAGAAGAACAUGGUGCUGUUUGGCAUGGUAAAUUACUGCUUACUCAAUGUGUAGCUGCUAUUUACAAUGUUUUUAUAAAAAAUGUAAGUACAAAGACUAUUUUGUAUUGUACACACCCACUUGUGUCUCACAUGUAAUCACACGGGAAUUUACAUGGGAUUCACACAUUAAACCAUGAAAGUGUUCCAAAACCACACGUUUCCCAUGUGCAAAGAGCAUGUUUCACGUGUUCCACAUACUGCACUUGUCAUUUUAACAAGUUUUCACACAUUAAAUGUGCAAAGGGCAUGACUGUCCCACUGCUGCCCUGGUUCUGCUGAGUGUAAUCAUCAUCCACGCUGUUUCCUACAUUACUGUACACGCUGCUUCCUACAUUACUGUACACACUGUUUCCUCUCUGGUGUGUUUAGUACUA